AUUGAACGCUGGCGGCAGGCUUAACACAUGCAAGUCGAGCGGAGAUGAGGUGCUUGCACCUUAUCUUAGCGGCGGACGGGUGAGUAAUGCUUAGGAAUCUGCCUAUUAGUGGGGGACAACAUUCCGAAAGGAAUGCUAAUACCGCAUACGUCCUACGGGAGAAAGCAGGGGAUCUUCGGACCUCGCGCUAAUAGAUGAGCCUAAGUCGGAUUAGCUGGUUGGUGGGGUAAAGGCCUACCAAGGCGACGAUCUGUAGCGGGUCUGAGAGGAUGAUCCGCCACACUGGGACUGAGACACGGCCCAGACUCCUACGGGAGGCAGCAGUGGGGAAUAUUGGACAAUGGGGGAAACCCUGAUCCAGCCAUGCCGCGUGUGUGAAGAAGGCCUUAUGGUUGUAAAGCACUUUAAGCGAGGAGGAGGCUACUGAGACUAAUACUCUUGGAUAGUGGACGUUACUCGCAGAAUAAGCACCGGCUAACUCUGUGCCAGCCGCCGCCGUAA
rnacentral:rRNA from 1 species